UCGAGUAAGGAAGGACUGCCUGGCUGAAAACAUGCCCGCUCAGGAACUUUUGGUGGUAAAUUUCAUUUCAAGGAACCAUCAAAAUAAGGAUAGCUUAAAAAAAAAAAAAAGGGAAAGGAAAAUCUUCAACGACAUCCCUCCGGUUCCCCGUCAUUCGACUCAUCCGCCGAUUUGCAAAAACUUUUUACCAAAGCAGAGAGCCUCCUAUACACUGUCGCCGGUGCCGCUGUUGCAGUUGGUCCACUGACUCUGCCGCGCUAAAAACAAAUGGCGUCUGCUUCGGCUUCAUCUUCCCUUUGAUAGAGUUUGUUCUUAAGGUGUUGAAAGAUGGAUUAUCGGCAUUAGACGUGUCCUACGCAAAUGUAUUCCCGGUCAAAUUGCUUACGGUUAUUGUCAAGAUAGCUAUAUUUUCUUUGACAAAGCCGUAGGUUUGAAUUUGGUCUCAUUUUAUUAGAAAAAGGAAGCGUUUAGAAUUUAACUUUGGUCUUGACUUUUUUUAUUCGGUAGUUAACUAUUACUUGACGAUGGUUUUUACAUGUUUAGGCGUGGAAUCAUUACUAGCUAUGCAAAAUCUUCAACCAAAAAUAGAUGCUAUCAAAAAAAGAUAUGCAGGCAAUCAUGUAAUGAUGGGGUUUGAAUUUGAGUAUUUACUUUUUAGUUUAACUGUUAUCUUUUGUGUUAGUUAGGAGGAAUACCAAUUGAAACAUCCUGCUCGUGUAGCGGUGUAAGCAGGCUAGGAUUAAUUCUCAGGCAGGUUGUUUCCCACCUUUAGCCAGUAUUCCAGUCCGGAUAUGCCUGUUUCAAGCUCUUUCAAACGUGGCAAAUGAGCUUCUAACUCAAAGGGUCAGUGUACCGAAGGUUCCUUUUGGAUCCCUUCUUUGGGUGGCCCAACUACAGUUGCUGCUCGGCAAUGUGGGUCUGUGAUUUCUUGGCUUAUUCCAUUUGUGAAUGGUCAUCCACUAUUGGUUGGCAUACUGUUGCAUACCUUGUUUUACCUGUGCUUCCUGUUGUCUUUCGAUUUGUUUCAAUGGAGCUCACGAAGCCUCCCAGGUUGAUGAGGCUCUUGAUGAAGCAUAUGCUUCCAGUGCAAGCAACAGGUUCCUAAUAUUCUUAACCAAGAUGAAACAAGAGAUCUAAGCAGAAGCAUGCUGUAUAGGAGGAUUAUAUACUGAAUUGUUGUAGUUUAUGGUGAGUCCUGAAUAUAUAGGAAUUAUAUUAUUUUUAGUAUAUUGACUGUUUUUAUGGUGGCACAUUCAUUUUGAGAUUUAUUGCAAAAUCAUGAAAAAGAAAAUUGUUCGACUAAAAAACUCCACGUCCAUGCUCCAAAAGGCCCAUAUCUUUUCAUAUUUCAGCAUUUCUCUAAUUAGGAAUAUUUUGUUCAUCUGUGUAAACACUAAAAUAACACUUUUAUUCUGUGGUUUGUUAAGCUAUUUGUUAACAGGAAUCUUGGAGUGGUAGAUAGUUGUGCAUUCAUUGCUUCCUCUGAUAUGAUUUGAACCACUGAACUGGGGUCUAUGUUUAGUUUAGAAUUUAUUUCCUAUCACAUGAAUAUUUGUCAAUUUUUCGUUUAUAUAGUUUCAGUCGCUAAAGGAUCAAUUGUUCUUUCUGCAUACAUAGUAUAACGUAUCAUUUCAGGCAUAUCUUACCUGCAAGUACUAGAAGCAUUGUUAUGCAGAGUAUCAUAACUAAGAGAUAAGAUACCUUCUGACUGAAGAAAACCAAACAUUCCUUCUCAUUGCAAACUAAUCUUUAUUAGUCGUGUAAGCCAGAGCUAG